rnacentral:sRNA from 1 species
UAUAUAACUUUAAUAAAU